UUGUUUAUGUGUAUUUGGUUGUUAGGUUGGUUGGAGUGAGCAUUUUUCCAGUUAUCGAGCAGAUGCCUUGUUUAUAUGUAUUUGGUUCUUACUUUGGUUGCAGUGGGCAUUUGUCCAGUUAUCAAGCAGAUGCCUUGUUUAUCUGUAUUUGGUUGUUAGGUUGCUUUUUUAGCAUUUGUCCAGUUAUCAAGCAGAUGCCUUGUUUAUCUGUAUCUGUUUGUUAGGUUGGUUGCAAUGAGCAUUGAAAGUACAGCGGGAUAUUUUGCCCGAACUGCGAGUGUCGUGUUCCCCACAGGGACUAGGCGACGGCGACUAUGCUCGGCUAAAUCUAGGUAACACAAUAUUAAGUGAUGUAAAUAGAAAAUAAACCUAACACUAACAAGGAUAUCAACAAAAGAAAUGACACAGAAACAAAGGGAGAUGAAGAUUAUCUUCACUUUGUCUUUUUGGUAUUUUCAUAUUAUUUUAGAAACUGAAAGGCUAACAUCAGUGACAAGGGAAGUCAAAAGACAUGGACAUAUAUAUCUAGCAAGCGUAUGAAAGUGGGAAGAAACAAAAUUACUGGACAGAAAACAGAUUAUUUAAAUCACAAGCACACACACAUAUAUUUAUAUAGCAAAGGUACUUGAGCUAACAUAUGAACUGAAAUUAAACAAGUUCACUGGAAAAUCACAAGCAUAAAUGCCACUGGUACAUAGCUAGCACAGAGACUAACAACUGAACAUCAAUUAGACUAUGGCAAAGUUACUAGUACAGACAGAUUACAGUAGAUGUCAAGAAACAUACACAGGGGAUCACACACAUAUACUAGAAGAUUACUAUAUCACAGAGCAUAUCACACAUACUAAGUAUUAUCCAAACAACUGGACAUUAACUAGUCAGAGCACAUAAUAAAAUGUACUAUAUUUUACAAGUACGAAACUGAACAAUUGUCAGGUUGCAAGCUUUUAUCAAAUUUGAAUAUUACUUGUACUAAACAUCUCAAUGUUGAAUAUUACAAAGUACUGAACAAUAAACUUCUCAAAAUUACAGAAAUUUGAGAUCAGAGAGAGGGAAUAACAGUAGCAAGAUGGUUCAGAAAAGAACAGCAGCAAGGUUAGGAGAAGAAGAAGAACAGCUGGUUAGGAGAAGAAGAAGAAGAACAGCAAUAGGUGAUGCAAGAGAGAGGAGGAGCAGCUUGGGCGUGGGGACGAGCAGCAGUGACUUGGAGAUAAGAAGAAGAACAGCAGCAGCAGGCGAGCUUAGGAACGGGUAGCAGCAGUGGCAUCCGGGUGAGAGAAGCAGCAGUAGGUUGAAGAAGAAGGAGAAGCAACAAGCAGCGGAGGGAAGGAGAAGUAGUAGCAGAGAUUGAGAGAGCAAGCAGCAGCAGGGGCGUGGGAAGAAGAAGCAGCAGCAGGCAGAGAGCAGAAGAAGGAAGAGGGGGUUUGCGAUGGUGGUGGCACACUGGUGGUCUGCGAGAUGGAUCCGAGGCGAAGGAGUUGGGUAGCGCACUCACGCGGGUGACCAGACACUCGCGCCGGAGUGUCUGGUGCGGCGCGUGAGGGAGCGGCUGGUGUGGUGGAUGUAGGCACUGCAGGUAGGAGGAGUAGUGGUGGCGCUGGGUGAUGGAUGGAGGCGGUGCUGGUUGGCGCUGGGUGAUGGAUGGAGGCGGUGCUGGUUGGCGCACCACCACGCCGGCCUGGCCGUGGCGGCGGCCGGUGGUGGAGAAGAUGGGGAGAGGGAUGAGAUGUGCCAGGCCCGAAGGGGAUCGGUGGCUGCGCUAGGGAUUUUGACCCCUCGAUCUGAUCUGCAAAGUUUACACAUUAACCCUCUUCCUUCUCUUCUUUCUUCACAAGAAGGUCCUCCCACUUCUUUAUCUAGCCCCCUGGUUACUUCUCUUCAUCUCACACAAGUCUCUUCUUCCUUCUCUUCUCUUCUUCACUCUUCUAGAUAGCCACAUAGACGGAAUCUUGACGAUUAUUAGUGCCUUUGCACACAUUUCUGCAAGAUAGACCAAAGACUGGUAAAUGAUCCCUUUUUUAUGGUUAUCAAGCAAUAUUCAAUCAAUCAUGGCGAGAAUGGACGAAUAUAUCACGAUAGAUGCUAUAUUUGAGUACCAAAAUUAUAUAUGUGAAAUAUACAUAUCAAGUUCCCCCACACUUAAAUCUUUGCUUGUCCUCAAGCAAAGGCAUAUGACAAGAGCAAGAAUGUGAACAGUGAACUGAGUAAAGAAUGUCCUGGUAAAAUAGAUCUCCAAACAAGGCAUGCUUCAGACUUAGCUAGUGAAAAUUAAUGGUUAAGAGUGCUACAAAGCAGUAGGAUACUAGUAAGCAUGACCAUUUUAAACUUUUACAAUGAUAAAAGAGGAUCAACAAGUUUAAAUGAUGACUGUGCCAAAGGUUCCUAAAGAGAGCAUGAUCCCGAGAAACACUUAUUACCAUGAACACAACAUUGUGGUAGAACCACUUAUUGGAUUUGAAGGAAGCAACAAUGAUAAUAAUUUACCGGUCUCACCAAAGGAACAUACCACCGAUCCCGAGAACAUGGUAUACACCUGGCUCGACCAAUUUUUAGUUUUUUUUGUCUCCCCAAAGGAACAUACCACCGAUCCUGAGAACAUGGUAUACACCUGGUUCGACAAUUACAUUUUUAUUUAUUUAUUACUGUCCAAGCUACCAGAUUUCACAUGCCACCGAUCCAGGGAACAUGACAUGCUACUGUAGGUAGACCAGACUUAUUCAUUAUAAGAUAUACUUUUUUACUUGAACAAAAACAAGAAUCAUCACUCAUCCAUGUCUGGUUCACAUACUACCGAUCCAGGUAACAUAGCAUGCUAGUCCAUAGUGGUGAGUGAUUGCUCUAAAUGGGAACACAUUUGGCACAAAUUCAGCAUCUAUACAUUGUGAUCUAGGUGUAUCAAUGCAGAAAAUGAUGAAGUUUUCUAGUGUGCUAGGGGUUUGAUGUAACACCCCCGAUGCGGCUAUAUCUCCCACGUGUCGAGGCACGACUUAGAGGCAUAAACGCAUUGUGGUUUUGUCGCAAGAAGGGUCAUCUUCACACAAUCCCAUGUAAUGAACAAGAAUGGGAUAAAGAGUUGGCUUACAAUCGUCACUUCACACAAUACAUAAAUAAAUCAUACAUCAAUCAGAGUACACGCAUAGGUCCGACUACGGAACCAAAAGAAAAGAAGACAACCCCAAAUGCUAGAUCCCCGAUCGUCCCAACUGGGCUCCACUACUGAUCAAUAGGAAACGAAACAACACAACGAACAAGAUCUUCAUCGACCUCCCACUUGAGCUCAGUUGCGUCACCUGCACUGGUAUCCUCGACACCUGCAACUGUUUUGAAAGUAUCUGUGAGUCACGAGGACUCAGCAAUCUCACACCCGCGAGAUCAAGACUAUUUAAGCUUAUAGGAAAGGAUGGGGUAAUGAGGUGGAGCUGCAGCAAGCACUAAGCAUAUAUGGUGGCUAACAUACGCAAAUAAGAGCGAGAAGAGGGGCAACGGAACGGUCGACAACUAGUAAUGAUCAAGAAGUGAUCCUGAACUCCUACUUAUGUCAAACAUAACCCAAGAGCCGUGUUCACUUCCCGGACUCCGCCGAAAAGAGACCAUCACGGCUACACACGCGGUUGAUGUGUUUUAAUUAAGUCGAGUGUCAAGUUCUCUACAACCGGAUAUUAACAAAUUCUCAUCUGCCACAUAACCGCGGGCACGGCUUUCGAAAGAUAAUACCCUGCAGGGGUGUCCCAACUUAGCCCAUUAUAAGCUCUCACGGUCAACGAAGGAUAUUCCUUCUCCCGGGAAGACCCGAUCAGUCUCGGAAUCCCGGUUACAAGACAUUUCGACAAUGGUAAAACAAGACCAGCAAGACCACCCGCUGUGCCGACAAAUCCCGAUAGGAGCUGCACAUAUCUCGUUCUCAAGGCACACCGGAUGAGCCAGACGUCGGGUUGGCAUAGACCCUGGUUGCCUAGGGGGCGCCGGACAUCGCUCGGUUUGGACCAGCACUCGAAGGAGAACUGGCCCGGGGGUUAAAAUAAAGAUGACCCUUGAGUCUGCAGAACCCAAGGGGAAAAGGCUUAGGUAGGCAAAUGGUAAAACCAAGGUUGGGCCUUGCUGGAGGAGUUUUAUUCAAAGCGAACUGUGAAGGGGUCCCAUAAAUCACCCAACCGCGUUAGGAACGCAAAAUCAAGGAAUAUAACACCGGUAUGACGGAAACUAGGGAGGCAAGAGUGGAACAAAACACCAGGCAUAAGGCCGAGCCUUCCACCCUUUACCAAGUAUAUAGAUGCAUUAAUUAAAUAAGAGAUAUUGUGAUAUCCCAACAUAAUUAUGUUCCAACAAGGAGCAAUCUUCAACUUCACCUGCGACUAACAACGCUAUAAGAGGGGCUGAGCAAAGCGGUAACAUAGCCAAACAACGGUUUGCUAGGAAGGGUGACAAAGGUUAGAGGUUCAUGGCAAUUUGGGAGGCUUGAUAAGCAAGUGGUAGGUAGCGCGGCAUAGCAAUAGAGCGAACAACUAGCAAGCAAAGAUAGAAGUGAUUUCGAGGGUAUGGUCAUCUUGUCUGAAAUCCCGCAAGGAAGAAGAACGAGUCCAUGAAGAAGACAAACGGACGUAGUCGAACGAAUCCUCACAACUCCGGAACGAAACCGAAGCUAACGAGAGAAACCAACCGGAAAGAGGCAAACAACAUGGUAAACAACCAUCACAUAAACAUGGCAUGAUGCACAAUCAAGUAUGAUGCAUGUCCGGUUUAAUGAGGCAUGGCAUGGCAAAGUGCAACAAACAAUACUACAAAUUAAGUGGAGCUCGAUAUGCAACGAGUUGCAUAUUGACGAAACACCACAUCAAUUAUUUAGUUCUCUCUCGUUUAUGUACCCGACAAUAUUAAAAGUUAUUAACCAUGGCAAGAGGUGAAACAUAUGAAAUCUACCUAUCUAGGCAAGUUUAAAUGGGGCCGGAAAUAACAAACAACAAUUCCGGAAAAUCCCCAUAUGCAUAAAUAGCAAUUUAAAGGAAACAACAAUAAUAAACAUUUUUAAAUGUUGCUAUCAUGAUGCGGAUGACAAUGCAAGUUAUAUGCAAUUUAUGAAAAUGUUGACAUAAGCAUGUUAUGAAGCAUUUGUCACCGUGGUGGAAGAAAGGGGUGACACGGCAACGAAUCCGAAAAUGAUGCCACGGCAACAUAUCGGUUUCGGUAGCUCAUGGAGAUACCGGUGCAAAAAGGAAACAUGGCAUGAGCGUGGCAUGCAAGGUGGUGGGGUGAUCUCGGUUACCGGGUUCCCACGAGACGAUGGCAUGGCAACGAGGAGGAACAUGCAAGCGACAAUUUCGAACACGGUGCAAACGCGGGCAUCUCAUGCAUCGCAAACAUUCGUUCUCGAAAGGUCAUCUCGGCGGUUAUACCUUUGAAGCGUGCAUUUUCGGAACAAAUCCAGUUCGUCGAAGGAAGUAGUGGUACACGGGCCAUAGUGGAAGUAGUCGUUCUUGCGACGGUAGUUGAAGUAGACGUCCGCGGGUCAUCGUGGGAAGUAAUCGUACAUGGCGGCGGUAGUGGAAGUAGUGGCACACGUUCGUUUACGGAGAGGUACUUGACGGGUCCGAGGUCUCCGGCGUAGUGGUACACAUUUCGGAAGCGGUUCACGACGAUGGUAGUCGAACUUGGUGAUCCGAAGGGGUACUCGGCGAAUGACGACCGUAGUGGUACUUGGGGAAAAUCUCGGAGACGAUGCUUGGCGGUCCUGGUGUGGCCUUGGCGUCCAUUGUAGUCGAUCUUGCCGGCCUUGAUGGUCCAACACAAAACAACACAAGGGGCCUCGGGAUGCCAGCAGCAAGGAGGCGAUGGUGGUGGUCAGCGGCAGGAGAUGGUCGGCAGCUUGAGCGGAGGCAGGCCGGCAGGGCGCUGGCUAGGCCUUGCAGCAGAAGCAGCCCACGCAUGCGGCUGCGCGGGCGCUCGGUCAACGCUGGAGGCCAGCGAGGCAGAGGAGGUCGGACGGGCCGAAGGCGCUCAGGAUCGAGCUCCUCUCGAUCCAGAGCAUGGUUGUGGGCGCGGGACGGAGGUUGGGCGCGCGGAGGCACGACGGAGGGUUGCGGGGCAGCGACGGCGGUUAGCAGAAGAAGGACGGCGAGGCAUGGAGGUCGAGGUCGCCAAGGAAGUGGGGCAGCAGGGGCACGGCGACGCUGAUCGCCUCGCGGGCCAUGCCGGGCGACGGGCGCGGCUUGGGGAGGCGCAGGCGAUGCAAAAGCCUGUGACGGCGAGGCGUCGACGCGGGGAAGCGGAUCAGGAGGAUGGGACAGGGAGCCUAGCGGCGCUGGAGGAGGGAAGGCUGCAGGGGCAGCGAUGGUCGACGACGAGGGCAGCAAGGAGGAGGUCGGGCGCCGGGGUCUCGCGGUGGAGGCGGCGAGGGGAUCGGGUACAGGGAGCUCCUCUCCCUGGCUCGAUGUGUGCGUGUGUGCGAUGUGGGAGGACAAGAGGGAGAGAUCGAGAGGAGGGGGGUCAGGGCUAGGGUUAUAGGCGCGGCUGGGCCUUGGGCCAAAUGGACUGCGGGGAAGCAGGCCGGCCUGGCUGCUGGGCUCUCUUCUCUCCCUCUCACUCUAAAGAAAGAAGAAAAAACAGAGAAAAGAAAGAAAAGAAAGAGAGGUUAGGGGAAGAAGUUGGACACGCGGAUAAUUUUCCCGGACUCACAAAAAUGAGCUUGAUCCAAGAAAAUAGAAGUUGGCAUGAAUGCAAGAUUUAAAUUCAAACUCAUUUGAAUUUAAUUCAAAUGGUUUGAACUAGGACAAGGUUUAGGAGUGGCCAAAAUGUUGAGAUUUUUGGUGGAGCUCCGGAAAGUGAAGAAAGAAUUUAGGGCAAAGUUUGGAGACCAAACUUGAAGCAGAAAAGGCACGGAAUUAUUAUGCAAGUGUGUUAUGGUUAAUUCCAAAGUUAAUGGAAUAUUUUAAUAUAGCUCCCUAAUAAUAUUGGGAGAUUUUUAUAUGUUGUAAAGAGAAAUCACCAUGUACAUUUCCCUCGAUUUAAAUGGAUCGAAGAUCCAUGCAAUUUACUUAGUUGAGUUUUAAAAAUAAAUGACAUGAUGGCAUGCUGACAUGAUGCAAUGCAAAAAUAAAUAGAGCAAGCAAAAGAAACACACGACGAUCACGAAAUAUAUGGAAGGCGUCUGAAGCGUCGGUCUCGGGGCGUUACAUUUGAUCACUCAAAACUAAUAACUUUCACUAAUUUCAGCAAAGCAAGCAAUAUGUAGAUCACUAGUUUACAAGGCAUUCAACACUCAGUUCACAUAUUCACAUCAAGCACAAUGCCAAAGGUGAAUUUCAGCUUGACAACAAGUAAUAACUGGUUCAAGCAGCCCAACUAGCAAUAGAAUUCAGCAUGUAUUUAUGAUAUUCAGAAUGGGUCAUGAAACAGCUCGCCGGGCUCUUCAAAUGAUGUAGCACUAGCUCGAUCAUCUCACCAACUGCAGCUCUUCACCUUUGCUUCCUCAUGGAUGCUCCAGGUUCACUCUUCUUUGUGUGUGCCCCUUGCUUCUCCUCGUCACCAUGCUCUGAGUCCACCAGGGUCCCAAGGAAUGUCACCUCGAACCUUGUCAGCCUGUAGUGGAUCGUGCACAAGCAAAAACCUGAAAGAACUCUCAACAAAAGAGACAAUGCAGGUGGUAGGGAUAAUACCCUCCAAGUCAUCAAUCGAAUAUCCAAUUACAUAAGCAUAGCUAUAAAGCACAUGUUUAGGAUGGUAGAAAUCAGUAAGCUCAAUGCUAGCAUAAGGAUGAUAUUUAUCAUUAAGCAUAGGUCUAGCAUGAGGAGAAUAAGUGUCAUCAUAAAUGAGAGAAAUGCCAAUAACAGGGUAUGUAUGAUCAUGUCCAAGCAAACCGUUUUUCAAGUCUAGCUUAAGUGAUGGUAUCAUGUAAUGGAAGGUAGAAGCAAAGAAAUCGUAAGGACACAUGUCGUCGAGAGGAUUAGAUAAACCUGCUACAUCACGCUCUUGUAUGACGAUGGGCAAAUGCAUUUCUGGUUCUUCAAGUUCAUCUACAGCAGCUUCUUGUACUUCUUUAGGAGAGAUAGAGAUUAUGUCUUCAACUUCAUCGCUUGGGUAGUCAAGCUCUUCGUCAUCUUGUUCCUCGUCUACUUGUAAAUCUUCUUCAAGUUGAGGUCUCUCUUCCUGUGGAUAUUCUAUGGUGCUACUACCAGCAACACCUAAUUGAGUCUGAAGUGUCCCCAUCUGUGAAUAUGCACUAACAUGUUCUGGUAGGGGUGCUGAGAUCACUACCUCGCUGUCUUUCUGAGCAAUGUUCUCCUCAUCACCAUCACUGCUAAGUUUCAACAGUGACACUGAUGACUUCCACCAGUCAUGCAGCUCAGCAACACGUGGGAUCUUCUCAGGACAUUGAAGUAUCAACUCUUCUAAAUUUGACUCAUCCUCUUGUAUCUCUCUCCUUGGAAUGUCUCCGACUUGCUUAGUUGUAUGUGCAGGAGUUGGAAUCUCAUCUUCACUAUUCUUCUCUGAGAUACUCUCUUUAACUGUGAUAGAGGCAACCACCGGUGGAGCUAAUGAUUUCUUCUUGACAAAUAGCCCAGAUACAGUUGUAACACAAGUGUGGGCAAUUGGUGACACGACUAAAUUCCACCAGUCACAUAGUUGACUAACACAAGUGAAUUUCUCCAUAUCUUGUUGUCUCAACUUAGCAUCAAUCAGAGUAGGUUCCUCAUAAACAUCUUGCAACUUUGACUCAUUUUGGACAGUUUCAUUGCCAUGAGGUAUUGGAUCUGCUACUAUGGUUUCCAUCUGAUCUACAAUGGUUGCAUCAUCUUGAAAAAUAUCAUAAUCAUCAUCAAGGAUAAUUGAAGUAAGAUCAAUCUUUCUAUAUGGAGGAUCUAAUUCAGUUCUGAAAUGUUGUUGUCCCCGGAAUGAAACAUGCUGGUUUUGAAUAUUAGGCACCAUGGAUGAUUUCUGUUCACUUAUGGAACACACAGCUUCUGAUUGCAGACGGCUUGCAACCUUCGGAUUUGAACUAGGCCUUUCAUAACCCCAUUGCAUUUGGUGGAAGCCAAUGCUCUCAAUGAGAAUAAUUGCAUCCUCAACGGUCUUGUUCAUAAUUGUUCCACCAGCUGACAUAUCAAUAAGAUCUCUUGAAGCAUGUGUCAGCCCUCUAUAGAAUAUCUGGAGCACUAACCAAUCCUUUUGCCCGUGAUUAGGACAUUUUCUAAGCAAAUACUUACAUCUCUCCCAAGCUGCAUACAAGUUCUCACUUCCAUCUUGCGCAAAACUGAGGAUCUGGUCACGAAUUGCAUCUUGCUUGUAAAGUGGAAAAUAUCUGUGCAGGAAAGCUUGCGAAAUAUCAUCCCAAGUGUAUGAUCUUGAUGGCAAAGAAUAGUACCAGUCCUUAGCAGCAUCUCUGAGAGAGAAUGUGAACAACAUACCCUUGAUAGUAUCUUGGGAAACACCAUGGUACUGGACUGUAUUGGCAUACUCCAGGACAUUACAAUGUGCUCAUGAGGGUCUUCAUUGGGUAAUCCUCUAAGCUGAUUCUGCAAGACAAGAGCAAUAAGUCCAGGCCUCAACUCAAAUUUUCGGCCUCAAUAGAUGGCCAAAUCGGCCCUGUCAUUGUGUCCAAACUACUUGGCAACCAAAGAUCACGUACUAAAGCCAUAUGUUCAAGUGCAACUGUCAAUCAGCCUACAAAUAGUAUGAUAUCGUACACACGCUCACAAACAUCAAGCACUGGUGAGAGGGUUAGUAUCCUAAUAAGCCGAAGCAACAAAAAGUAAAAAGGUAAAAGAAACACAGAAAUAAAUUUGACUGGAAAUUUAAACAAGAACUAUACCAAGCCUAGUCUAUAGCUUCACACAAACGCUCGACGCUAGUCCCCGGCAACGGCGCCAAAAUGAUCGAUUGAAAGUACAGCGGGAUAUUUUGCCCGAACUGCGAGUGUCGUGUUCCCCAUAGGGACUAGGCGACGGCGACUAUGCUCGGCUAAAUCUAGGUAACACAAUAUUAAGUGAUGUAAAUAGAAAAUAAACCGAACACUAACAAGGAUAUCAACAAAAGAAAUAACACAGAAACAAAGGGAGAUGAAGAUUAUCUUCACUUUGUCUUUUUGGUAUUUUCAUAUUAUUUUAGAAACUGAAAGGCUAACAUCAGUGACAAGGGAAGUCAAAAGACAUGGACAUAUAUAUCUAGCAAGCGUAUGAAAGAGGGAAGAAACAAAAUUACUGGACAGAAAACAGAUUAUUUAAAUCACAAGCACACACACAUAUAUUUAUAUAGCAAAGGUACUUGAGCUAACAUAUGAACUGAAAUUAAACAAGUUCACUGGAAAAUCACAAGCAUAAAUGCCACUGGUACAUAGCUAGCACAGAGACUAACAACUGAACAUCAAUUAGACUAUAGCAAAGUUACUAGUACAGACAGAUUACAGUAGAUGUCAAGAAACAUACACAUAGGGGAUCACACACAUAUACUAGAAGAUUACUAUAUCAUAGAGCAUAUCACACAUACUAAGUAUUAUCCAAACAACUGGACAUUAACUAGUCAGAGCACAUAAUAAAAUGCACUAUAUUUUACAAGUACGAAACUGAACAAUUGCCAGGUUGCAAGCUUUUAUCAAAUUUGAAUAUUACUUGUACUAAACAUCUCAAUGCUGAAUAUUACAAAGUACUGAACAAUAAACUUCUCAAAAUUACAGAAAUUUGAGAUCAGAGAGAGGGAAUAACAGUAGCAAGAUGGUUCAGAAAAGAACAGCAGCAAGGAUAGGAGAAGAAGAAGAAGAACAGCAGGUUAGGAGAAGAAGAAGAACAGCAAUAGGUGAUGCAAGAGAGAGGAGCAGCAGCUUGGGCGUGGGGAGGAGCAGCAGUGACUUGGAGAUAAGAAGAAGAACAGCAGCAGCAGGCGAGCUUAGGAACAGGUAGCAGCAGUGGCAUCCGGGUGAGAGAAGCAGCAGAGAGGGUUGAGGGCGAGCAGCAGUAGGUUGAAGAAGAAGGAGAAGCAGCAGCAGCGGAGGGAAGGAGAAGUAGUAGCAGAGAUUGAGAGAGCAAGCAGCAGCAGGGGCGUGGGAAGAAGAAGCAGCAGCAGGCAGAGAGCAAAAGAAGGAAGAGGGGGUUGGCGAUGGUGGUGGCACACUGGUGGUCUGCGAGAUGGAUCCGAGGCGAAGGAGUUGGGUAGCACACUCACGCGGGUGACCAGACACUCGCGCCGGAGUGUCUGGUGCGGCGCGUGAGGGAGCGGCUGGUGUGGUGGAUGUAGGCACUGGAGGUAGGAGGAGUAGUGGUGGCGCUGGGUGAUGGAUGGAGGCGGUGCUGGUUGGCGCACCACCAUGCCGGCCUGGCCGUGGCGGCGGACGCUGGUGGAGAAGAAGGGGAGAGGGAGAGAGAUGAGAUGUGCCAGGCCCGAAGGGGAUCGGUGGCUGCGCUAGGGAUUUUGACCCCUCGAUCUGAUCUGCAAAGUUUACACAUUAACCCUCUUCCUUCUCUUCUUUCUUCACAAGAAGGUCCUCCCACUUCUUUAUCUAGCCCCCUGGUUACUUCUC
rnacentral:lncRNA from 1 species